AAGCAAAUAGGUUGGAGAUGAUGUUGUGACGGAGUUUGAUCCUUCUCAAUUAUUUGCUCCAAUUCCUCACAGUCAGCUAUAUGCAACCACGACAAUUGUGGCAAAUUUCGAGCGAUGGUAGGUGAGAAGAUGUAUCUUAACCUUCUGCAAUUGCGGACUUGCAAUCGAGUGAGAUUUUGAAAGUGUUCAACUUGAAUGGGACCACUCCAUAUCACCCGCAAUUCAGUUAGUUUGGACAACGUUAGCUUCUCCAGACUUGAAAGAUUAUAUCUAGGAUAUUCAAAUAACUCUUCAAAAUUGGAAAUUGAUGUUCCUCCUCUCCUUUCAGGGACUGUCACGUUGCUUAUUUGCUUCUUUUCUAUCAUCUUCGAAAAGUACAAUACCUAUAAACAUAUCAUCAAUUUAAGAAUAAGCACAAGAUUUCUUUUUCAAUCUUUUCUAGUCAAAGAAUUCAAAUUUUUAAAAAGUUUACUGUUCAACUCAAAUACAUAUAAUUAAGAUCAUACAUUACCAAAAAAAAAAUCACAAAAAAUAAAAUCUCCAAAAAUAUGGUGCAAAAACACAACAUAAAUAAUAUUACGUAGUACUAGAUAGUGGUUGCAAUAUAUAUAUAUAUAUAUAUAUAUAUAUAUAAGAAACUAAAAUGUCUUAAAUGUCUCAUAUAGAUUAUAAAAGUAUUCAGUUGAAAUGUUAUUUAUGUUACUAAUUGGUAUUGUAAUUAACUAAACUACUUAACGGUUUAUUUAGAUUAGUUUUUAGACCAAAAUUCUACAAUGAAAACUAUUUUUUAAAGAGUUAUACAAGCAUUUAUUUAUUUUAUACAGAAAAAAUCAAAAGGUGAAAAUUUGAAUAAAUAAUAUAUAUAAGGUGGUCUUACCUGUAUAUUAGUUGAAACGAUAAUAGGUGUCAAUUGAGGACAAUCUCUCACUUUUAACAAGUGUAAAGAUGCCGAUGUCAGCACAAUGUAGUUUCUCUCCCUUCCUUUCAAUUGAGGCAAAUUAAUCAACUCAACGUUUUUCAAUCGUGCAAGACCUUGAGACAUUGAGAUUAACACUUCAUCUGGUCCUUGGAUUAUUUCUUGUAAUUGGGAACAACUCUCUAUCGUCAGAGUUUGCAAUUGCCCAAGACUAUUAGCAACACACAUUGGGAAGAGAAAUUUCAACUUAUUGCAUUCUGUGACUCGUACUUCCCUUAGGCAUUGGAAGCUUAUGGUUGAUACUUGUGAGUCUUGGAUUAUUUCUUCCAUUCCAAAGCACCUCUCUAUCAUCAGAGUUUGCAAUUGCCCAAGACUAUUAGCAACACACAUUGGGAAGAGAAAUUUCAACUUAUUGCAUUUUGUGACUUGUACUUCCCUUAGGCAUUGGAAGCUUAUGGUUGAUACUUGUGAAUCUUGGAUUAUUUCUUCCAUUCUAAAGCACCUCUCUAUCCUCAGAGUUUGCAAAUUGGGCGCGUUUAGUUGUUUAGAGCUACCUUGGGCAACAAUAAUUGGAAAGAGAGAUUUCAAGCUUUUACAUUGCAAGAUAUCAAGUAGAAUCAGAUUUGGAAAGCAAAGAGGUAGGGGAUGAUGUUGUGAUGACGUUUGAUAUUGCUCCAAUUCCUCAUAUUUACAUGAAUGCAAAUUGCUCAAUUGUGCAUUUGUCAUCUUCCCAAUCACCAAUUCCUAUAAACAUAUCAUCAAUUUUCAAUUUCAAAAUGUUCAAAGAUGUCAACAGCUAACUUAACAUUUCAUCAAUUAAUUUCCUUACAAAAAAAAAUUAUUUUACCUUAAAUCAAUAUUAUACUCCAAAAAUGUGGUACAAAAACAGUCAUAAAUAAUAUCACAUAAUCUGUACAUAUAAAUUAUUUGACAGGUGUAACAACGCAAUUGGGAAUUACUUCAACUCAUUUUCAUAUAUUAAUACAAAAAUUAAAAACCACCUGUGUAAAAGGCUAUAUUUAAAAAAAAAUUAAAUAUAUUUUUUUCUAGUUUAUUUUUUAAUACAAAUUCUAAAAUCAUCCAUAAUUCCUUCCCACAUUUAAAUAGAAAGAUACACGUGCUUGAGUGCACUCGAACCUACAUCCUCCUAUUCAGACAACAAUAUUGAUACCAACCAAACUAAAACUUAUAUAUAAUUUUAUAUAGCUUACUUUUGUUUACCCACAUAAUAGGUAUAAUAUAAUUUAGUAUUAGAUAAAUAGUUUGCAACAUAUCUAAAACAUAAAGUUUGGAUAAUAUUUUUUUUUUGAAAAUUUUAUUAAUCUUAUUAUAUGGUAUUAUAAUAAACUAAUUUGUUUAAAAGGUUAUUUAGAUUAGUUUUAGACCAAAAUUAUAAAAUAAAAUCUAUCUUUUAAACAACUAUUCAAACAACAAAUUAUUAAAGAAAAAAUAAACAAAUAAAUAAUAAACAAAAAAAAUCUUACUUGUAUCGUAGUCAAAAUAAUAAAAUGUGUCAAUUGAGGACAAUUGUGCACUUUUUAACUUCUGCAAAGACGAUUGCGUGAGCAUAAUGUCGUUCACGUCCCUUCCUUUCAAUUGAGGCAAAUCAAUCAACGAAACCUAAAAUGAAAAGCAUAAUCAAAUUUCCCAAUCUUUGACCAUAGGACGAUAAGGAAAAGAAAAGUUAUUGCAGUGAGAUACACAUACUUCCCUUAGACUUUGGAGUAGACAUUUGUAUGCCACUUGUCGGUCUUGGAUUAUAUCUUCCAAUUGCGAGCAACUCUCUAUCUUCAAAGUAUGCAAUUGCCCAAGGCUAUUAGCAACUGACAUUGGGAAGAUAUAUUUCAAAUUAUUGCUUCUCCAUAUUUUAACAAUCUUCAGACUUUGGAGGCUUAAAUAACGACUGGGCCCUUCUUGUUCUAUGCUCCUCAAUUCAGCAAUUGGGAAUAACACUUGCAUCUCACUACAACCUGAAACUAUAACCUCUUCAAGCUUUUGUAAAAAACCUUGCGGCUGGGGAGCAUUGCACAUCUCUUCCAAAUGAAACAUACGACUUAAUGAUAACUUUCUCAAAUUAGAGAGUGCAGUGAUUGGCACUUGCUGCUUUGAUGCAUCAAUUAAGCAUUGCAUAGACUGGCACCCUCGAAGAUCUAGAGAAGUCAACUUUCUAAAUCCCAAGUCCAAGCUCGGAAUAAGGUUUGGGUGACCCUCCACAUAACCCAAUUCAAGAGAUUCUACAUCUUCAAGUAGUUGCUUGCAUGCAUCUACAGACUCAUCGAUUCUCAACAUAAAUCUUAUCAUCUUCAGGAAAUAAAGAGCACAACAAGAAACAUGUCUUUGUCUCCAUAUUCUUCAAGUAGUCGAAGCUCGCCUCAAGACANNNNNNNNNNNNNNNNNNNNNNNNNNNNNNNNNNNNNNNNNNNNNNNNNNNNNNNNNNNNNNNNNNNNNNNNNNNNNNNNNNNNNNNNNNNNNNNNNNNNAUCUUUGAGUCUCCGGUAUGCAGCUUGCCACUCAUAAUGGGUUUUACCUUUCAAGGCACUUCCCAGUGGAACUAUAGCUAUAGGCAAACCCCCGCAUUUUUUGCCAAUUUGAUUUGCUCGGAUUUUAAUAGAAUCAUCAGAAAAGUCAUCUAGACCUGCUUUCUUUUCAAACAGAGUCCUAGCUUCAUCAUCAUUCAAACAGCCAAGUUGUACCAGGUUUUGACAAUCCAUAGCUUGACAUACUUGUUGACGGCGUGUUGUUAAAAGAACUUUGCAGCCUUUAUGAUCAUCCCCAAUUGGAAUUCCAAUCUUCUCCUUUAAGUUGAUGGAUUCCCAAAUAUCAUCAAGGAUGAUAAGAAUCCUCGGUUCAUUCUUCAGCCUUAACCAUAAUUCUUGCUCGGAUCUUCUUCCUUGUUCAUUCUUCAUAUCAAAGCCUAUGUAUUGUGCAAUUUCAUCUUCAAUUUUCUCAAAAUUUGGCUUUUGAGACACAACCGUUAUCACAACUUUGUCAAACAAUUUCAGUUUUUGAGCUUGACUUCCAACUUCACGAGCCAGGGUGGUCUUGCCCACCCCUCCCAUCCCCCACAACCCAAUCAUGUUGAUAUUCUCAUCUUUUAAGGCUUCAAUGAUUUGAUAAAAUGCAGUCUCUGAAGAUUUCGAAAACACAAAUUCCUUAGAACAUAGGAAAUCUAUGGUGGGAAGGGCAGUAGGUGCAGGGUAACCGACGGGUCCAAGUUGACCAAAUUUGUCCAAAAGCUCAGAGAUAUCCUGGAUUUUCUUCAUUGCUUUCUUGCUUAAUUGAUAUCUCCAACUCCAAUUAGGGCACCAAUUGAGACACCUCUUAUUCAGUUGGAUUUCCUCAUCCAGAGUUCCCAUAUCAGACAGUGUUUCGUCUGCCCUUGAUUGCAAGUUCUGUACAUCAUCUUCAAUUAGUAGAAGCCGGUUUUUAGCUUCCUCAAUCUUAAGUAGUAGACGCUUUCGUGCAUCUGCAAGUUCACGCUUUUUCUCUCGAAGCUUUUCAACAUUGUCAUGAAAGCGACAGACAUAAUCAAGUUGACGUCCUACCGGCUUCACCACACAGUUCACAACCAGUGUUCCAACUGUGUUAGAAAGAGCAGCCUCGCAAAAUCCGCAACCCAUGAUUGACAAGCUCAUGUUCCAAGUUCAAACACUGUAGUGAAUCAUAAGUAAUUACCAUAAAAAAAUUUAAAGAAUCAAAAAGUGUUUUGAAGAUUAAGACACUACUUCUUAUACAUACCAAGGAUGGUGAAAGACAACUCAACCUAUGAGAAUCAAUGAGCUGUUCUUUCAACUCAGUCCAGCUGAAAACACAAUGAGAAAUUUAAUAAACAAAUAAAAUCAUAUACGAGUGUAAUGUCAUAUAAUUAUAACUAAAACAGACAGUUAAUUACUUAUAAAAAUAAGAAUUCAAAAUAUUUUUACCCUCACAGUAACAAUAUUAUAGAUAUAAUGCUGGAAAAUAUAAUAAACAUAUCCACUUACCAUUUCAAAAUCCAAACAGUCUUUUAGCUCUUACUUGCUUCAAGAAAAACAUAAAAAGAUGAGAUGAGAUAUAAAAAACAGAAAUGAAGCAUAUAUAAAUAGAUUUACCUCACUUGGGAUCUUUUAAAAUCAAACUACACUUAGGGAUCAGAAUAUUCUUACUUCAAAACAAUCAAAAGGGAGGGAUUUGAAGGUUGGUUUUGUUUUUAGCAAAAGUAAGUAAAACUGAAUACAAAAAGAAGGAACUUGAAGAAAGGGGGAAAAAAACAAAGUAGAAAUUGAAGUUUAUCUGCCUGGAAAAUUCAACCGCUGGGAAAAUUUUACUAUUUCACUAUGACCUCUGAAUCCCUACGAUGCUCCGCCACGAAAACCUGAGUUUUCUUGUAGACAAACAAAGACAUGACAGGAUAGGAGAAAACUUAACAAAAAGGUGGGAGUCUUCGGGUCAUAUUUUUACCCUGGUUUGCUCUAUUAUAAAAGAGUUAAUUACUUCAACCAUCUCUAAAUUAUGACUACCAAUUUAAAUUGGUCCCCAAACUUCAAUUUAUUCUAAUUACAUCUCCAAAUUAUCGAUGCUAUAUCAAUCAAGUCCUUUUAUUAUUACGAUCGUUAAAUGACACAUCAAAUCUUAUGUAGCUAAAUUUAAAAUAAAAAAUUUAAAGAAAUAGAAUCAUAUUACAUAACUUUUAAAAUUAAAAACAAAAAUUAAGUAAAAUUGAAAUUAAAAAAAAGUGAAUGAUAAAACUUUCAUAAAAACUUCCAAAACCUUAAAACUAGGGUUUUUAAAACAUUUAUUUUUAAAAUAUUCAUUUCUUAAAAUAUUAUAUCACAUUAGAUGUAACAUGUCAUUUAACAAUUAAACUGGGUAAAACGACUUCUGUAGUCUCUCUCUCAAUUUUGAUAUUAACUAAAUUGGUCCCUUUAAAAAAUCAAAUUAAUUUUGUAAGUAAGCAAAUAACGCGUUCUAUUAAUUUGAUCACGAUUUAACAAAUUUAACCCGCAAUAUUUUUGUAAAUGCAUAAAUAUUGAGACAAAAUUUGUUGAUUUUAUUUACAAGUAAGACCAAACUAACAAAAUAUGUAAAUACUAAUGGCUAAAUCUGUUAUUAUACCAAUCAAAACUAUGCAUAAUUGAUAAGGAUUUAGUUACUAAUUGUCUAAAUUGACAAGGAUUUAGUUACUAACAUUAAAUUAUUCCUUUUUUUUUAGGGAGACUUAUUUACACAAAUUCAAAAUUGUGAGCGGUUGGAGAGAUUUUUUUACUAUCAAAUUAAUAAUUUUGGUAACAUUUUUUUUAAAAUGUUAAAAUUUCCAUUCCUCGAAAUUAACAAUAAAUAAGAAUAGGCUUUUCAAAAAUUCGUAAAAAUACAGAAUUUUCAAUGUUGAAAUCAUGGAUUUGGCUAUGGAAACCCCUAUUAUUUCCUUAAUAAUAAUUUGUUUAUAAAUAUAAUUUUAAUAUAAAAGAUUUUCAUUCACUCGAGUAGUGUGAUAAAAUCUAAUAGAUAUAGAAUUGAUUUCUCUAUUUUAUUUAAAUACAAGUAUUGCAUAGAAUUGGGUAGAAAAGUAUAAAUGAAAGCAAGACUCGAUUGAGAAGCUGUUAUUUCAUUUUAUCAUUUCAUAUUAGUUGAUAAAAUCAUAUAUACAAUUCGAGUGUAAAGGGAUAUGAUUAUAAAUUGGAAGGAUAUAUUACAUUAUUACACAGAUAAAUAUAAUUCUAAUGAUUAAAAUUAAUUAAACUAAGUCUAUGUACUUUUUAUUAAUUUAUUUAAAUUUGAAAAUAAUUAAAAUUAAAAACUACCCAUAGUAAUUGUUAAGUUUUUAUCUCUACUAAAUUUUGGUUUAUUGAGUUAGAGUGACACUAUGACUCGCUCUCAUAUAUAUACAUUAUAGAUGAUAGAUUAUAUAUAUUAUAUAUAACGCAUUUGAUUAAAUUGGUGUCACGAGUUAAUUAGACACUAAUUCGAUCGUAAAAUAAUUAAAAUACCUUUACUUUAAAAAAUAACUAAUAUUAUUUUAAUAUUAAUAUAAAGGUAUUUUUAUCUUUUCAUACUUUUAUUUAAUAUUCAAAUAAAACAACUUAAAAAUAUUAUUUAAGAAUCAAACACAAAACCAGUUGAAAUAUUUUUAUAAAUAUACUUUUAAUAUAAAAUAUUUCCGUUUGUGAUAAAGUCUAGUAGAUAUAGAGUUUCUCUAUUUUAUUUAAUGAAAUGAACUUUAUAGCUUUUAUUUCAUUUUGUUUGUUUUAUUUUUGUCAAUUCAUUUAAAUUUAUAAAAUUAAGAGUGAGUAAAACUCGAUUCGAUUCGAAAAGAUUGAAUUUUAAGUUAAUUGAAUCGAUUUAAAUUUUACAAUUUGAAUUUUAUAAAAAAUCACAAUUAAAAUUAUAUAUAAGAAAGAAAUGGCGUUCAAUUAUAUAAAAAAUCACAAUUAAAAUCACAAGUAGGCGUAUCACUUUCUCUUCUUCCUCAUUCAGAUUUGUCUCAUCUCCUUCAAACACCUGCUCUAAUUUGGAGACCUGUCUAAGGCAUAAUCCACUUAGUUUUGGAAGGCCGCCAUGAACAAGAGGAAUCGGGAAGAGACAUUUCAAGUUUUCACAGUUAAUGAUUGUAAUCUGCUUCAAAUUAGGGAAGCAAAUAGGAUGGAGAUGAUGUUGUGAUGGAGUUCGAUGCUUCUCAAUUAUUUGCUCCAAUUCCUCACAGUUAAAUAUACCCAACCUGGAUAACUGUAGCAAAUUUCGAGCGAUAGUAGGUGAGAAGAUGUAUCUUAACCUUCUGUAAUCUUGAACCGUCAAUUGACAGAGAUUUUGAAAGUAUUCAACUUGGAUGGGAGCACUCCAUAUCACCCGCAGUUCAGUUAGUUCGGACAAGUUUAAGAUCUUCAGACUUACAUCUAAA
rnacentral:lncRNA from 1 species